AGGAUAAACGCUGGCGGCGUGCCUAACACAUGCAAGUCGAACGCGCUUUCGGGCUUCGGUGCGAGAGCGAGUGGCGGACGGGUGAGUAACACAUGGGUACCUACCUUGGAGUGAGGGAUACCGGCGAGAAAUCGCCGACAAUACCGCAUAGGCUUCUUCACAAGGGAAGCAAAGUGACGCGAGUCACGCUUUGAGAUGGGCCUGUGGCCGAUUAGCUAGUUGGGGGGGUAACGGCUUCCCAAGGCGACGAUCGGUAGCUGGUCUGAGAGGACGAUCAGCCACACUGGGAUUGAGAACGGCCCAGACUCCUACGGGGGGCAGCAGUGAGGAAUUUUCCGCAAUGGAGGCAACUCUGACGGAGCAACGCCGCGUGCAGGAGGAAGGUUUUCGGAUCGUAAACUGCUUUUCGUCGGGGACGAGCAAGGACGGUACCCGAGGAAGAAGCCCGGCUAACUACGCGCCAGCAGCCGC
rnacentral:rRNA from 1 species